rnacentral:rRNA from 1 species
GCCUACGGGGGGCAGCAGUAGGGAAUCUUCCACAAUGGGCGAAAGCCUGAUGGAGCAACGCCGCGUGGGUGAAGAAGGUCUUCGGAUCGUAAAACCCUGUCGUUAGAGAAGAAAGUGCGUGAGAGUAACUGUUCACGUUUCGACGGUAUCUGACCAGAAAGCCACGGCUAACUACGUGCCAGCAGCCGCGGUAAUACGUAGGUGGCAGGCGUUAUCCGGAUUUAUUGGGCGUAAAGGGAACGCAGGCGGUCUUUUAAGUCUGAUGUGAAAGCCUUCGGCUUAACCGGAGUAGUGCAUUGGAAACU